UACGAAGGGGGCUAGCGUUGUUCGGAAUUACUGGGCGUAAAGCGUGCGCAGGCGGCUUCUCAAGUCAGGGGUGAAAGCCCAGAGCUUAACUCUGGAAUUGCCUUUGAGACUGAGAGGCUUGAGUACGGGAGAGGUGAGUGGAAUUCCCAGUGUAGAGGUGAAAUUCGUAGAUAUUGGGAAGAACACCCGUGGCUAAGGCGGCUCUCUAGUACGGUACUGACGCUGAGACGCGAAAGCGUGGGGAGCGAACAGG
rnacentral:rRNA from 1 species